rnacentral:tRNA from 1 species
GCGGCAAUAGCUCAGUGGUAGAGCUCCGGCUUCGCGUGUGGGCUGAUCCGGGUUGGAUUCCCGGCUGCUUCC